rnacentral:tRNA from 1 species
AUUUUGAUGGCUGAGAGGUUAAGGCGUUAGAUUUGAAAUCCAAUGGGGUUUCCCCUCAUAGGUUCAAAUCCUGCUCACAGCG